rnacentral:rRNA from 1 species
CAGCAGCCGCGGGAAUACGAAGGGUGCAAGCGUUACUCGGAAUUGCUGGGCGUAAAGCGUGCGUAGGCGGUUGGUUAAGUCUGUCGUGAAAGCCCUGGGCUCAACCUGGGAAUGGCGAUGGAUACUGGCCAGCUAGAGUACGGUAGAGGAUGGUGGAAUUCCCGGUGUAGCGGUGAAAUGCGUAGAGAUCGGGAGGAACACCCGUGGCGAAGGCGGCCAUCAGGACCAGUACUGACGCUGAGGCACGAAAGCGUGGGGAGCAAACAGGAUUAGAUACCCGCGUAGUCCCUGUCUCUUAUAC